CUGCUGGGCGGUCUGAAAGGGCUCACCGAAAGGUGGGCCCUUUUUUGUUGCCUGCGGUUUUCAAAGCCUUUGCAAAACCCUCCCACU
rnacentral:misc_RNA from 1 species